rnacentral:lncRNA from 1 species
ACCCAAAACUAAUUUUGCUUUUUCUGCGCGGUGAAAAGAUAUAUUGAGAUAGAAGAAUAAGAUAAAGUAGACAAUUAUUUCCUAAGCCCCAGAUGUCUACAAUACAAGAACUGCCCUGUUUAAAAGACGCUGGUCGGAUAUGGAUUACGGUUUUCCGAUAUCUUCGCACAAAACCCGCAGAAUUUUGCAUCGUGCUAGCCGAUGUAUAACUGUUCACUGAACGCCCAGCUCGAAUAGUAGCAACGACCCCGAAAAAAACAAUUCGCAAAUCAGUAAAACACAACGCGAACAAAACUGGUCAGUAGGGUAAAAUUGUUAAGUUCACAUUUGGCGUUUGCUGCUGAUGAUGAGAAAUGCAGAAUGAUGAUGACUUGGGAAAACUGAUGAAGAUUUCAAUAGCAUUUGUUGAUGAUUGAAAUGCUUGAACACAUUUUCUCGGCUAUCAAUCUGUCGAUUGCAAGUGUUGGAUGUUUUGGUAAAUAAUGUCACUUCUGCAUAUAUUGUGAUAGGGAGCUGAAUCGAAUCUAGUUGCUCUGGUUCCGAUGAAAAGAUCCGGCACACACCCUGACGAAUAAGUUAACUCGCUUUUCCCGUGAGAAUCGAAAGCAUCCAAGCUGGAAUGCCGCGACCUUAUCACUACGUUCUGCGACGCGGAACUGCCAACUGGCGAACAAUCACAGACAACGUCAAUCACUCGCGACACGAUUAGCGAAGGCUUGGUUCAAUCGCGUUGUUGUUUUCACCGAGGGUUCUAAUAAUAAAAGUGCACUGUUUUCGAAAGUCGCUCUACAAUCUUCGAAAGCAGAGGACCGGGGAAGCGAUGGGAAUUGUCACUUCAGAGGCUGAUGUACAGGGGAUUGUGUAUCUACAGUAUGAAUCAUAAAAAUGGAAAAUAUAUCAUGUUUAUAAUUCAGGGCAGUUUAUUUUGAAGAAUUUAAGUUUGAAAAAAAUGUUCUCGAGCAAACAUAUAUUUUCAACAAUUAAAUUAGAUUUUUCAAGGUGGAAUGUUUGUCUCCAGAAUACAGCGAUCAAACCGUUUUUCUGACUUUUGUAGAACAGAACUUUCGAACAUUAUUGCUUUAGUACAUCAAUUAGGUUAGAAAAUAAAAUAUAUGAAAAAAAUGAUUGUAUUGUGAGGUCAUAUCAGGAACGUACGACAGAAAUACAUUUACCUACAAAAACAAUAAAAAUAACACUUUUGCAAGCUUCUACAAAAUUUCGAUUUUUUUGGACCAUACUCUACAAGGCUAGGUGCAGUUCGGAUUCUUCAACACAAUUGGCUCAUACACACAUAAACAGAUCCGAUUGGUGUAGAUGGGACUCAUUGAGAUACUGAUUAACAAGUUGAAUACUUGAUAAUGGCCAGUUGAAUGGCCGUAUAGGUGAUUGUAACUUAAUUUCAUGGCGCGAGUGGUUACGAUUGUGCGUGCUUUAUGACUUACGAGUAACAAAGGGACUACAGAAGGAAAAGUACGCAAUACAGUGAUAGCUAGAACAGGAAAUUUUACUUUCUACUAAUGUGAUUCAAGGACAGGAAUCUCGUGUAAAGGAGGUGGAAGUGUAGUUACUAAGCUUAAGACUUAUACAGAAAUAAAAAUAUUUAAAUUUCAAUGUACCGUAAA